rnacentral:tRNA from 1 species
GAGGGUAGAGCUCAGUGGUAGAGCGCAUGCUUAACAUGCACAAAGGCCUGGGUUCGAUCCCCAGUACUUCCA